rnacentral:rRNA from 1 species
AUGCAAGUCGAGCGAAGCUUUUCAGUAGUUUACUACAGAAAAUGACUGAGCGGCGAACGGGUGAGUAACGCGUGAGCAAUCUACCUUAGUUACAGGGAUAGCCCGAGGAAACUCGGAUUAAUACCUGAUAUUCUUUAAAUUUCGCAUGAAAUUAAAAGGAAAGGUCAGCCGAACUAAGAUGAGUUCGCGUUCUAUCAGCUAGUUGGUGAGGUAAAAGCUCACCAAGGCAACGACGGAUAGCUGGUCUGAGAGGACGAUCAGCCACACUGGGACUGAGACACGGCCCAGACUCCUACGGGAGGCUGCAGCAGGGAAUAUUGCGCAAUGAGCGAAAGCUUGACGCAGCGACACCGCGUGUGGGAUGACGGAUCUAGGUUUGUAAACCACUUUCAGGAGGGAAGAAAAUGACGGUACCUCCACAAGAAGCCCCGGCCAACUACGUGCCAGCAGCCGCGGUAAUACGUAGGGGGCGAGCGUUGUCCGGAUUUAUUGGGCGUAAAGAGCUCGUAGGCGGUUCAACAAGUCGGUCGUAAAAGUUCAGGGCUCAACCCUGAAAUGUCGAUCGAUACUGUUGUGACUAGGAUACGGUAGAGG